rnacentral:rRNA from 1 species
CGACGUAGGUAACCUGCCUGGUAGCGGGGGAUAACUAAUUGGAAACGAUAGCUAAUACCGCAUAAUAUUAAUUAUUGCAUGAUAAUUAAAUUGAAAGGUGCAAUUGCACCACUACCAGAUGGACCUGCGUUGUAUUAGCUAGUAGGUGAGGUAACGGCUCACCUAGGCGACGAUACAUAGCCGACCUGAGAGGGUGAUCGGCCACACUGGGACUGAGACACGGCCCAG